AUUCAGAGUUUGAUCCUGGCUCAGGAUGAACGCUGGCGGCGUGCCUAAUACAUGCAAGUCGAGCGAACAGACGAGGAGCUUGCUCCUCUGACGUUAGCGGCGGACGGGUGAGUAACACGUGGAUAACCUACCUAUAAGACUGGGAUAACUUCGGGAAACCGGAGCUAAUACCGGAUAACAUGUUGAACCGCAUGGUUCAACAGUGAAAGACGGUCUUGCUGUCACUUAUAGAUGGAUCCGCGCCGCAUUAGCUAGUUGGUAAGGUAACGGCUUACCAAGGCAACGAUGCGUAGCCGACCUGAGAGGGUGAUCGGCCACACUGGAACUGAGACACGGUCCAGACUCCUACGGGAGGCAGCAGUAGGGAAUCUUCCGCAAUGGGCGAAAGCCUGACGGAGCAACGCCGCGUGAGUGAAGAAGGUCUUCGGAUCGUAAAACUCUGUUAUUAGGGAAGAACAAAUGUGUAAGUAACUAUGCACGUCUUGACGGUACCUAAUCAGAAAGCCACGGCUAACUACGUGCCAGCAGCCGCGGUAAUACGUAGGUGGCAAGCGUUAUCCGGAAUUAUUGGGCGUAAAGCGCGCGUAGGCGGUUUUUUAAGUCUGAUGUGAAAGCCCACGGCUCAACCGUGGAGGGUCAUUGGAAACUGGAAAACUUGAGUGCAGAAGAGGAAAGUGGAAUUCCAUGUGUAGCGGUGAAAUGCGCAGAGAUAUGGAGGAACACCAGUGGCGAAGGCGACUUUCUGGUCUGUAACUGACGCUGAUGUGCGAAAGCGUGGGGAUCAAACAGGAUUAGAUACCCUGGUAGUCCACGCCGUAAACGAUGAGUGCUAAGUGUUAGGGGGUUUCCGCCCCUUAGUGCU
rnacentral:rRNA from 1 species